AUAUGGAGCCUGAUCCAAAGCCCACUGAAGACAAUGGGAGUCUUUCCACUGACUUUAAUGGAUUUUGGGUCAGGCCCAACAUGAU
rnacentral:pre_miRNA from 1 species